rnacentral:rRNA from 1 species
AGAAAUCUCACCAGGCCCGGACACUGGAAGGAUUGACAGAUUGAUAGCUCUUUCUUGAUUCGGUGGGUGGUGGUGCAUGGCCGUUCUUAGUUGGUGGAGCGAUCUGUCUGGUUAAUUCCGAUAACGAACGAGACCCCAACCUGCUAACUAGCCCUCGGGUCCUGCUUCUGUUGGGCCCGACGGAAUGAUUCGCUUCUUAGAGGGACUCGCGGCGCCUAGCCGCACGAAGGGGGGCGAUAA